UUUGUGACCUCGAGUCAGGUCUCAAGGGAUUUGAUUUGUGUCUCAUGUCAUACUAGUUUGAGAAACGCGGGAACUGUAUUCAAGUCUCUUGGUGCCCAAGCCCUGCCAUGAGCGCAUGUGUCUCUCGGAGAUGCAACGUCAGAUCAGACAUGGCGCCCCACUGAAUUUAAGCAUAUUAGUCAGCGGAGGAAAAGAAACUAACUAGGAUUCCCUCAGUAAAGGGUCUUGUUUUUUCAUAAAACAACAAGAGCUGAGACAACACUGACAAGAAUAAAAUCAACAACUAC